UGGCAAUGAUCUGAACUUAGCCGCGCUUCUGAGUGCAAAGUGUGAAGCAUACUAAUGGUUGAAUUUCUGAAUAUGAGCCU